ACAGUGAGUAACACGUAUCCAACCUGCCGUCUACUCUUGGCCAGCCUUCUGAAAGGAAGAUUAAUCCAGGAUGGCAUCAUGAGUUCACAUGUCCGCAUGAUUAAAGGUAUUUUCCGGUAGACGAUGGGGAUGCGUUCCAUUAGAUAGUAGGCGGGGUAACGGCCCACCUAGUCAACGAUGGAUAGGGGUUCUGAGAGGAAGGUCCCCCACAUUGGAACUGAGACACGGUCCAA
rnacentral:rRNA from 1 species